rnacentral:RNase_P_RNA from 1 species
AGAGUAAAUUGAAUAGUCGCUGAUGAAAGUCGAAAGGCUUCAUGAGAGGAAAGUCCGGGCUCCAUAGAGCAAAGGUACUUGAUAACGUCAAGCGAGGGUAACCUUAGGGAAAGUGCAACAGAAAAUAACAACCUUUAUAGGUUCAGGUGAAAAGGUGGAGUAAAAGCCCACCAGCAGUAUGGUGACAUGCUGGCUGUGUAAACCCUAUCUGGAGCAACACCUUGUAGAGAAAGUUAAGGCUGCUCGCCGUUUUCUCGAUUUGCGUGGCUUGAAGUAUAUAGCAAUAUAUACUCUAGAUAAAUGACUAUUCACGACAGAACCCGGCUUACAGAUUUACUUUUAUA